GGUGAACGUUGGCGGUGCGCCUAAUACAUGCAAGUCGAGCGAGAAAGUCCAAACCCGCAAGGGGGAGGGCGAGUACAGCGGCGAACUGGUGAGUAACACGUGAUCAACCUACCUCUCCGACAGGGACAACCUUUGGAAACAAAGGCUAAUACCUGAUGGCGUUGCUUGCCCACAAGGGCGAGCAAAUAAAGGGGCGUUUGCUCCGCGGGGAGAUGGGGUUGCGGCCCAUCAGCUAGUUGGUAGGGUAACGGCCUACCAAGGCGAUGACGGGUAGGGGGCCUGAGAGGGCGAAUCCCCACAUGGGGACUGAGAUACGGCCCUGACUCCUACGGGAGGCAGCAGUAGGGAAUCUUCCGCAAUGGACGAAAGUCUGACGGAGCAACGCCGCGUGAGCGAUGAAGGCCUUCGGGUCGUAAAGCUCUGUUGUUAGGGAAGAACGAGUACGAGAGUAACUGCUCGUACCUUGACGGUACCUAACCAGAAAGCCCCGGCUAACUACGUGCCAGCAGCCGCGGUAACAC
rnacentral:rRNA from 1 species